UUUUUACUAUGAAGAGUUUGAUCCUGGCUCAGGAUGAACGCUAGCGACAGGCUUAACACAUGCAAGUCGAGGGGCAGCAUGAGGUAGCAAUACCUUGAUGGCGACCGGCGCACGGGUGAGUAACGCGUAUGCAACCUGCCUGAUACCGGGGUAUAGC
rnacentral:rRNA from 1 species